CACUAGUGAUUCCUACGGGAGGCAGCAGUGGGGAAUUUUCCGCAAUGGGCGAAAGCUGACGGAGCAAUACCGCGUGAGGGAAGACUGCCUAUGGGUUGUAAACCUCUUUUUUCAGGGAGGAAUAAAAUGACWGUGUACCUGAAGAAUAAGCAUCGGCUAACUCCGUGCCAGCAGCCGCGGCUAAGACGGAGGAUGCAAGUGUUAUCCGGAAUCACUGGGCGUAAAGCGUCUGUAGGUGGUUUAAUAAGUCAACUGUUAAAUCUUGAGGCUCAACUUCAAAAUCGCAGUCGAAACUAUUAGACUAGAGUAUAGUAGAGGUAAAGGGAAUUUCCAGUGGAGCGGUGAAAUGCGUAGAUAUUGGAAAGAACACCGAUGGCGAAAGCACUUUACUGGGCUAUUACUAACACUCAGAGACGAAAGCUAGGGUAGCAAAUGGGAUUAGAUACCCCAGUAGUCCUAGCCGUAAACUAUGGAUACUAGAUGUUGAACAGAUCGACCUGUGCAGUAUCGAAGCUAACGCGUUAAGUAUCCCGCCUGGGAAGUAUGCUCGCAAGAGUG
rnacentral:rRNA from 1 species